UGGGGGAUAUUGCACAAUGGGCGAAAGCCUGAUGCAGCGACGCCGCGUGGGGGAUGAAGGCCUUCGGGUUGUAAACUUCUUUUGCUCUGAACAAGGCGCACCAUGGGGUGUGUUGUGUGUAUUGGUUGAUUAGCGCCGGCUAACUACGUGCCAGCAGCCGCGGUAAUACGUAGUGCGCGAGCGUUUUCCGUAAUUAUUGGUCGUAAAGGGCUUGUAGGUGGCUGGUUGCGUCUGUCGUGAAAGCUCAUGGCUUAACUGUGGAUUUGCGGUGGGUACGGGCUGGCUUGAGUGCAGUAGGGGAGGCUGGAAUUCCUGGUGUAGCGGUGGAAUGCGCAGAUAUCAGGAGGAAUACCGGUGGCGAAGGCGGGUCUCUGGGCUGUUACUGACACUGAGGAGCGAAAGCAUGGGGAGCGAACAGG
rnacentral:rRNA from 1 species